AUGAACGCUGGCGGCGUGCCUAAUACAUGCAAGUCGAGCGGAAAGGUUCUGCACUUAUUAUUUGAGUAGGUAAGUCUUAUAGAUACUACCUAAAACGUAAUCGCUAGGCUAGUGAAUACGGUCGAAUAAUGGGUGUAGAAUACUCGAGCGGCGGACGGCUGAGUAACACGUAGGAACGUACCCCAAAGUGAGGCAUAAGCACCAGAAAUGGUGUCUAAUACCGCAUGUGCUCUAAGGAGUAAAGCUUCGGCGCUUUGGGAACGGCCUGCGCAUGAUUAGCUUGUUGGUGAGGUAAAAGCUCACCAAGGCGACGAUCAUUAGCUGGUCUGAGAGGAUGACCAGCCAGACUGGGACUGAGAACGGCCCA
rnacentral:rRNA from 1 species